rnacentral:sRNA from 1 species
UAACAGCCUCAACCGCGUCAUCAUUCGA